rnacentral:lncRNA from 1 species
GAGCGAGCGGUUGGACUUCCAGUUUCCUGAUUUUGGAAAACACAAAGACACCUUUACCAAGGUCGAGAUCCCGUCAGAAUAUCAAUGUGAGCACAGCGGCGGUGAUGGGGGUGGCUGUGAGAGGACAGAGAGGAGUGGCGCCCACCAAGGAGUCUCAUUAUGACACAGAGGGACAUCCGCCUAACACUAACGCUACGGGGUCUGCCACGGCCAGGAGCAGGGGUCCACUACGUAGGGAACCUGGAGAACACAAACCCAUAACCACCACCGGGAUGGACCGAGACACGGGGAUAGAGAGAGGGAGG